UACGGAGGAUGCAAGCGUUAUCCGGAUUUAUUGGGUUUAAAGGGUGCGCAGGUUGUUUGAUAAGUCAGUGGUGAAAGUCUGUCGCUUAACGGUAGGAUUGCCAUUGAUACUGUUAGACUUGAAUAUGGAUGAGGUAGGCGGAAUGUGUAGUGUAGCGGUGAAAUGCAUAGAUAUUACACAGAACACCGAUUGCGAAGGCAGCUUACUAAUCCAUCAUUGACGCUGAGGCCGAAAGCGUGGGGAUCAAA
rnacentral:rRNA from 1 species